rnacentral:rRNA from 1 species
CACACGACUCUCGGCAACGGAUAUCUCGGCUCUCGCAUCGAUGAAGAACGUAGCGAGAUGCGAUACCUGGUGUGAAUUGCAGAAUCCCGUGAACCAUCGAGUCUUUGAACGCAUGUUGCGCCCGAGGCCAUUCGGCCGAGGGCACGCCUGCCUGGGCGUCACGC